GCAAGACCCUGUAUCAAAAAAAAAAAAAAAAAGAAAGAAAGAAAGAAAGAAAAAAGCUAUGAUAUUUUUUCCAGUUCCUAGGAUCGACUCACACACAUGCUGGGACUUCAUAUACCAGAAUUUCCACAAGGUCCACUGGUCACUGUUUCAUUUGGAAAAGACAGCGGGCUCUAAGCAGGGUACAUGACCAUCCAUCUAGAGACUGGAGACUGCAUUUACCAGCUGCCCAGUGGCUGCAAUGUAGAGCGUGGGAUCAGUCACCACACCCACCCUCCCAAAACUGCUUUGGAUGUUGAGACUGAUGACAGGAGGAUGUGACAACACUUAUUACUCACAUAAUGGAAUGUUCUGGUAAGAGCAAGCACAGGUUGGCCCAGAUGGCAAUGGCAAGGCACUGAGGUUGAUUUUCAGUUUGAUUGUGACCAGGAAGCAGAGCCAGGCUGCGAGUUCUUACCAGGGUUGGCUAGCUCCUGUGUAGAGCAAAGACAUAAUGAGAGAAAGAGAAAGAGAAUGAUGGGGUUUGAGAGCUGUCAGUGUUCCAAUGUCAAAACUGAGUUUUACACUUAACUAUAGUCCUGGUGUCUUCAUGAGAACCUGCUAAUCAGAUAAAGAAAGAAUUUUCAAAUGGUUAAACUUACUUAAAAAUUUUGGUCAUGAGAGCUCCAUAUUCCAAACCCUAAGAAAUUAUGUAAAUCCAUCUUCUUGCAACCACUAUUUUAAACUCUGAAAGCUGUCACCUGCCCAUGGAUUAAGACGUUUUAGAGACAGGGAAAGUCACUGAGGCCCAUUACAACUGUAAAUUUUCUUAUGGUGUUGAAAUGAAUUUUAAUCUGGCCAAAAGAUAACCAGAAAAAAAAAAAAAAGACCAAACUUUAAAUGACAAACUUAAGAGUGAACAAAGCUGCUUUUCAAACUAGCAAAAGCAAAGUAAUGUAAAAU